ACUGAGGGUAGCGGAGAAAUUCCAAUCGAACCUGGAGAUAGCUGGUUCUCUCCGAAAUAGCUUUAGGGCUAGCCUCAAGUGAUGAUUAUUGGAGGUAGAGCACUGUUUGGACGAGGGGCCCCUCUCGGGUUACCGAAUUCAGACAAACUCCGAAUGCCAAUUAAUUUAACUUGGGAGUCAGAACAUGGGUGAUAAGGUCCGUGUUCGAAAGGGAAACAGCCCAGACCACCAGCUAAGGUCCCAAAAUAUAUGUUAAGUGGAAAAGGAUGUGGCGUUGCCCAGACAACUAGGAUGUUGGCUUAGAAGCAGCCAUCAUUUAAAGAGUGCGUAAUAGCUCACUAGUCGAGUGACACUGCGCCGAAAAUGUACCGGGGCUAAACAUAUUACCGAAGCUGUGGAUUGUCCUUUGGACAAUGGUAGGAGAGCGUUCUAAGGGCGUUGAAGCAUGAUCGUAAGGACAUGUGGAGCGCUUAGAAGUGAGAAUGCCGGUGUGAGUAGCGAAAGACGGGUGAGAAUCCCGUCCACCGAUUGACUAAGGUUUCCAGAGGAAGGCUCGUCCGCUCUGGGUUAGUCGGGUCCUAAGCUGAGGCCGACAGGCGUAGGCGAUGGAUAACAGGUUGAUAUUCCUGUACCACCUAUAAUCGUUUUAAUCGAUGGGGGGACGCAGUAGGAUAGGCGAAGCGUGCGAUUGGAUUGCACGUCUAAGCAGUAAGGCUGAGUAUUAGGCAAAUCCGGUACUCGUUAAGGCUGAGCUGUGAUGGGGAGAAGACAUUGUGUCUUCGAGUCGUUGAUUUCA
rnacentral:rRNA from 1 species